UACGUAGGGUGCGAGCGUUGUCCGGAAUUAUUGGGCGUAAAGAGCUUGUAGGCGGUUUGUCGCGUCUGCUGUGAAAGCCCGGGGCUUAACUCCGGGUCUGCAUUCGAUACGGGCUAGCUAGAGUGCGGUAGGGGAGAUUGGAAUUCCUGGUGUAGCGGUGGAAUGCGCAGAUAUCAGGAGGAACACCGAUGGCGAAGGCAGAUCUCUGGGCCGUAACUGACGCUGAGGAGCGAAAGCAUGGGGAGCGAACAGA
rnacentral:rRNA from 1 species